GGGGGGACCAUCCUCCAAGGCUAAAUACUCGUGAUCGACCGAUAGUGAACCAGUACUGUGAAGGAAAGGCGAAAAGAACCCCGGGAGGGGAGUGAAAUAGAACCUGAAACCGCAUACAUACAAACAGUAGGAGCCCCUGCAGUGGGGUGACUGCGUACCUUUUGCAUAAUGGGUCAGCGACUUACGUUUUGUGGCGAGCUUAACCGAGUAGGGGAGGCGUAGCGAAAGCGAGUUCGAAUAGAGCGACAAGUCUCAAGGCGUAGACCCGAAACCAGAUGAGCUAUCCAUGGCCAGGUUGAAGGUGUGGUAACACACACUGGAGGACCGAACCGACUAGUGUUGCAAAAUUAGCGGAUGAGCUGUGGAUAGGGGUGAAAGGCUUAACAAAUCUGGAGAUAGCUGGUUCUCCCCGAAAACUAUUGAGGUAGUGCCUCGUGUAUUGCUCCAGGGGGUAGAGCACUGUUAUGGCUAGGGGGACAUGGCGUCUUACCAAACCAUGGCAAACUCCGAAUACUUGGAAGUAAGAGCACGGGAGACAGAGCACCGGGUGCUAACGUCCGGACUCAAGAGGGAAACAACCCAGACCGCCGUUUAAGGUCCCAAAUAUUGACUAAGUGGAAAACGAAGUGUGAAGGCUAAGACAGUCAGGAAGUUGGCUUAGAAGCAGCCAUCCUUCAAAGAAAGCGUAAUAGCUCACUGAUCGAGUCCUCAUGCGCGGAAGAUGUAACGGGGCUAAGUCAAUAACCGAAAGCGCGGAUUUGCAUGAAAAUGCAAGUGGUAGGGGAGCGUUCUGUAAGCCUGCGAAGGUGGUUCGAGAGGACUGCUGGAGGUAUCAGAAGUGCGAAUGCUGACAUGAGUAACGUUAAAGCGGGUGAAAAGCCCGCUCGCCGUAAGCCCAAGGUUUCCUGCUCUACGUUCAUCGGAGCAGGGUGAGUCGGCCCCUAAGGCCAGGCUGAGAAGCGUAGUCGAUGGGAAGCAGAUUAAUAUUUCUGCACCAUGUGCAAGUGCGAUGGGGGGACGGAGUGCGAAAGAUCAUCCGGGUGUUGGAUGUCCCGGUUUGUGAGUGUAGAAGGCCGACAGGCAAAUCCGUCGGCGGAUCUUCGAGACAAAGCAUCGAGGUUCUACGGAACCGAAGUGAUCGGAAGUGCUUCCAGGAAAAGCCUCUAAGCUUCAGCUUGCAUAUGACCGUACCGUAAACCGACACUGGUGGGCGAGUUGAAUAUACUCAGGCGCUUGAGAGAACUCGGGAGAAGGAACUCGGCAAAUUGACACCGUAACUUCGGGAUAAGGUGUGCCUUUGUAGCGUGAAGAGAGAAACACUCGGAGCGUGAAGAGGCCUCAGAGAAUCGGUGGCUGCAACUGUUUAUUAAAAACACAGCACUCUGCAAAGACGAAAGUCGACGUAUAGGGUGUGAUGCCUGCCCGGUGCUGGAAGAUUAAGUGAUGGGGUGAGAGCUCCUGAUCGAAGUCCCAGUAAACGGCGGCCGUAACUAUAACGGUCCUAAGGUAGCGAAAUUCCUUGUCGGGUAAGUUCCGACCUGCACGAAUGGCAUAAUGAUGGCCACACUGUCUCCUCCCGAGACUCAGUGAAGUUGAAAUGUUUGUGAUGAUGCAAUCUCCCCGCGGCUAGACGGAAAGACCCCAUGAACCUUUACUGUAGCUUUGCAUUGGACUUUGAACCGAUUUGUGUAGGAUAGGCGGGAGGCAGAGAAAGCGCAACGCCAGUUGUGCCGGAGCCGACGUUGAAAUACCGCCCUGAUUUGUUUGAGGUUCUAACCGCGACCCGUAAGCCGGGUCCGGGACCGUGCAUGGCAGGCAGUUUGACUGGGGCGGUCUCCUCCUAAAGGGUAACGGAGGAGUACAAAGGUACGCUAGGUACGGUCGGAAAUCGUGCUGAUAGUGCAAAGGCAAAAGCGUGCUUGACUGCGAGACCGACAAGUCGAGCAGAUGCGAAAGCAGGUCUUAGUGAUCCGGUGGCUCUGUAUGGAAGGGCCAUCGCUCAACGGAUAAAAGGUACUCUGGGGAUAACAGGCUGAUACCGCCCAAGAGUUCAUAUCGACGGCGGUGUUU
rnacentral:rRNA from 1 species